UACGGGGGGGGCAAGCGUUGUUCGGAAUUACUGGGCGUAAAGGGCUCGUAGGCGGCCAACUAAGUCAGACGUGAAAUCCCCAGGCUCAACCUGGGAACUGCGUCUGAUACUGGAUGGCUUGAAUUCGGGAGAGGGAUGCAGAAUUCCAGGUGUAGCGGUGAAAUGCGUAGAUAUCUGGAGGAAUACCGGUGGCGAAGGCGGCAUCCUGGACCAACAUUGACGCUGAGGAGCGAAAGCUAGGGGAGCAAACGGG
rnacentral:rRNA from 1 species